UAUUUUUGGGAACCUGCCUUAUGGUUCGGGAUAACGUCUGGAAACGGACGCUAACACCGGAUGUGCCCUUCGGGGGAAAGUUUACGCCAUGAGAGGGGCCCGCGUCCGAUUAGGUAGUUGGUGGGGUAAUGGCCCACCAAGCCGACGAUCGGUAGCUGGUCUGAGAGGAUGAUCAGCCACACUGGGACUGAGACACGGCCCAGACUCCUACGGGAGGCAGCAGUGGGGAAUAUUGGACAAUGGGGGCAACCCUGAUCCAGCAAUGCCGCGUGAGUGAUGAAGGCCUUAGGGUUGUAAAGCUCUUUCGCACGCGACGAUGAUGACGGUAGCGUGAGAAGAAGCCCCGGCUAACUUCGUGCCAGCAGCCGCGGUAAUACGAAGGGGGCGAGCGUUGUUCGGAAUUACUGGGCGUAAAGGGCGCGUAGGCGGCCUGUUUAGUCAGAAGUGAAAGCCCCGGGCUUAACCUGGGAACGGCUUUUGAUACUGGCAGGCUUGAGUUCCGGAGAGGAUGGUGGAAUUCCCAGUGUAGAGGUGAAAUUCGUAGAUAUUGGGAAGAACACCGGUGGCGAAGGCGGCCAUCUGGACGGACACUGACGCUGAGGCGCG
rnacentral:rRNA from 1 species